rnacentral:miRNA from 1 species
AGAGAGAGAGAGAGAGGGAGAAACUGCUGUCACUGAGUGAUUGAGAUUGAGAUCCAACCGACGAAGUCUCUCUCUCUCUCUCUCUCUCU